GCAUCUACCUUUUCUACUUCGGUGUCUAUACCAUCAUUUUCCCCAGGCAUGAUUGGAAUUUUCUUCUCUUCCCUUUCAGGUCAAAUCAUCAUGUUUCACCAAGAAGAGUAAACGGAAAAAGAGAGGAAGGAAGAUUGAAAUAGGAACAAUGAUAAAGAUGACCACAAUUUGCCGGACAUGUCGUAGCUCCCUUUAAACGAGCU
rnacentral:lncRNA from 1 species